rnacentral:tRNA from 1 species
CGCAGCCGACAGGAUUCGAACCUGUGCGGGGAAACCCCAUUGGAUUUCGAGUCCAACGCCUUAACCACUCGGCCACGACUGC